UACGUAGGGUCCGAGCGUUGUCCGGAAUUAUUGGGCGUAAAGGGCUCGUAGGCGGUUUGUCGCGUCGGGCGUGAAAACUCAGGGCUCAACCCUGAGCGUGCUUCCGAUACGGGCAGACUAGAGGUAUGCAGGGGAGAACGGAAUUCCUGGUGUAGCGGUGGAAUGCGCAGAUAUCAGGAGGAACACCGGUGGCGAAGGCGGUUCUCUGGGCAUGACCUGACGCUGGGGAGCGAAAGCAUGGGGAGCGAACAGG
rnacentral:rRNA from 1 species